UUGUGUGAGGAGGUGGUUUUCUCAGCUUCUUCUGAAGAGAGGGAAAGAUCGUUUAAGGCAAGUAAACUUCAUAAUUUCAUGUUAUCAGUUGUUGUUGUUGUGUUUUACUAAGAGUAAAAUAAUGUUUGUUUUUUGUUUUUGUAGAUGUUAAAAGCAAGAGACAUGGGAGAGCAUCAUUCCUUUGAGAUUUUAUAAAUCAAACCAACUUUGGAGUUGUCUUGUCUGAUUUGGAGAGUCAUCAUUCUUGGUCUUCGCUCUUAGAGGCCACUGAUGAAGAGCAAGCGGUGACUGGAUGAAUGCUGAUCAGAGAGGAGAAUCUUCUUUUCCCUAAACUGAUGCAGCGGUGGUUUUAAAGGAGGACGCUGCCCUGGAUGAUGUAGAAGAUGUCACAUGCUGUGCUGAUGGGGUUUCUUCAUGAUAACAUCAGUUAUGCUAAAGAGAUCAUGAAAAUUGACCGUGAUGCAUGAUCUGUAUUCAUGGACUAUGAAACAAACUGUAAGUGUAUAAUUUGUUAAAAAAAAAAAAAGUUAAAUGCUUUUUCUGUGUGUUUAGUAGAAGAGUUUACACUCUGUCAUUCAUACACCUGCUCACAUUCUUUCACACACACACACACACACACAUGCGUCUGUUAAAUGUUAUAAUAUCAAAGUUAAUGUUGUGAUUUAUUUGUGUACUGUCAUGCCAGAAUAGUUGGGGAAAAAAACUAACUAAUUGUAAAUUUAUUGUAUGUGUUUUCGUAUAUUUUUAUACAAUAUAUACAAUUGAACAAAGUCCAAUUUGAUCUUAAGUUAUAUUCAUCAAAUGUUCAAUGCUUUAUGAACUCUGUAGCUGUUAAUGCCAUCCUUUUCUGCAUUUCUUCUAACAUGUUACUUUUUGACUUUUCUCUUGUUUUUAAUAAAUA